UCGCCGAAGCUAUGCAUCGGUCGUAAAUCCGUCGUGUCGUGUCGUUUGUUCUUUGUGGAACACCACGAAAGGUAUCAAUUUUACCUUUCUAUCAAAAUUUCUUUUACCUUCUCUGAGUUCUCGAUUCUUCGCCGUUCGUUCUCCAACAAAUUUCAUCGUCCUCUUUAGAUUGAUUCUACGAUUUCUCUGUUUAAUCGGCUUAGUAUUCAAAGUGCAUAAGAGGGUAGCCGGGCCGGGCCGGGCCAAAUACGAAGGGCCCAAAUUGAGAGUUGCGAGUAUCAAAUAAGAAUAGGGUUUAGAGUUGCUAGACCUGCAGGUUAAAUUCUGUUCUAAUGGAGUUUUCUUUGGAUUCACUCUGGUUCGAUCUUCUACUACUCUCGAAUUUUCGAGACUGGUGUUACCCGGUUUGGAUCUUUCUCUCCUCGUCUCUGCUUUUCAGAUCUGAUCGAGAUCUGGUCCUAUGGUAUGUUGCUUCUAUUUAGGGUGUGAAAUUUGUCGCCUUGUAUACGACAACCCCGUAUCCGGAAGAAAGUGUGAGGAAUUAUGAGUGGUUCUAUCUUGCCGGGUUAUGAAGCUUAGCAUAGGAGUUCUGUUUCUUUUAGGCAGUUUGGUAUUCUUCGAGGAGGUUUCGUUUAUCGAUGGUUGGCCGCGGGCAUCUUCGAUAUGUUCUCUCAAAGGAUUUCUUGAAGUUAGUAUUUCCCUUGUUCGGUUUAGUAUGUUUCCAAUUUGUUGUGGUUGUAUGGUUUGUUUAUGGUUAGCCUCUUCUAUCGUAUUCUAUUGGCCUUGUAGAUUCAGUCCCUUGCUUUCCUUUUUAGGGCUUAUGUCUCCGGGGAAAUCUUGUUUUCCGCCGGCUUUACGUUGUAAUUCACCGUGUAUUCCUCAAUGGUAAUAUAAAUCAAUCUUAGAUGACAAAAAAAAAAAAAAAAAAA